rnacentral:rRNA from 1 species
AUGGCGGUGCUGUCGGUGUUCGCCGCCUUCGACAAGGACGGCGACGGCAAGGUUUCUGUGUCCGAGCUACGGCGCUGCAUGGAGGCGACGCUGGGCGAGGACGUGCCCGAGGAGGAGGCGGCGGUAAUCCUUGCAGCGGUGGACGCGGACGGCGACGGGCUGCUAAACCAAGAAGAGUUCUCGAGACUGGCCGCCGCUGGCACCCAUGAAGAGGACAAUGCCGACAUCAAGCGAAGGUGCCUGAGGGAGGUGUUCGGGAUGUACGCGUCGUCGUCUGCGGAAGACAUGAUUACGCCAGCGAGCUUGAGGCGGACGCUGACCAGGCUGGGGUCGCACGAGCUGCGCGUGGAGGAGUGUAGGGCAAUGAUCUGCAGGUUCGACCUUGACGGCGACGGCAAACUCUCGUUCGACGAGUUCCGGGUCAUGAUGAUGGUCUGA